CCGGGGCACAAGACAGAGAGGCCAGGUCACGUCUCUGCAGUUACACGGCUCUGAGUGCCUGCUGGGGUGGAACCUGGUCUGUCUGUCUGUCUAGCACCACAGCUCGGGCACAGCGGCCGAGGGGCAGAGGCUGGGCGGGGGCUGUCUCCCUGGUUGCACUGAGGCUAGGGCGGCGAAGCAGGCUCAGCGUGGGCGUUGACCCCCCUAGCCAGGGGUGAGGUGGGCUCUGCAGUGGGAGCAUAGCUGCUCCAGCCGUGGGCUCAUGCUGCCUUGUGGCCAUGAGCACGGGGGCGAUGGCGGCACAGAGUACAGGGCUCCGGGUUCGAGUCACGGCCCCGCCCCACCCCAGCCCUUCCCCGUGGGCGUGUUCUCCAUUGAGCUUGGAUAUCUCACUCUCUGCUGUGGCUUUUUUCAGUUCUCAGCUGAAACUUCCUGCAGAGGCCCAGUGAGCCACUGACCCCUGGGAAGCAUUUGUUUAAGAACGCGAGUGAGCAUUGAGAUCUUAGACGUGCCGGAGGGCCAGGGAGGUGUGCAGGACAGUCUGCUGAUUGCGUUCUUCUAAGGUAGAAGAGACAGGCUGGGUGAGAGAACGGGGACCCUGGAGUGGACGCAAGGACCCUCUUCAGACAGAGACCCUGCUGUGCCCUGUGGCAGAGGAGCCCCGAGCCCAGCCAUGGAGUGCAGAGUGAAGAUUAUGGCUGAUUGAAUUGGCCUCCGCUGAGGAAGAUUUUGAUGGUUGCCCUUGUGGAAUGGCCGUGCGAGAUGCCCUCAUCCGCUUAGGAACACGAGCUUGGUUGUUGUCCUGUUGAGUAAUGAGUGCGGAAGCCGAUGUAAGUAACAAAGUGAUCGCUUCUUGUUUGGUGGUUUGUCUUGGGUGUUGACUCUGUUAUUGAAAAUAGAUAAAUAGCCAGACGUACAAGUGAAAUGAAUGAAGGUUGUUGUGGAUGGAUGUGGGGCAUCUGUGGUCCAUAAAGGAGGUAAAAGCAAGACCGUCUAGUGAUGUUCAUAGUUAAUUACCCAGUUAAUUAAUACAAAAAUUAACCAGUUUUAUUUUUGAGUCACAUUGGAUUUAAACCUCCCUCUAUUCAUAAACUCGUAGUCCGGCCACAUUCCAAGAUGGAAGACACAGUCGCUACAUUAAGUGCUGUGUAAAAUGGUGGGUUCAUAGGUUUUAUUUGUCUCUAAAAUAGGGCCAGGGUGUCCCUGGCCCCUGGGUGUGUGAAAGCAUGCUGCACAGGGACUAAGAGUGGGGUUUUGUGUGGUGUGAACCAAGGGUUGUGAUCAGUCCAGGUCACGUCAGUCACCUCCAUUACCGUGCCAAGAGCGGGAUUUGGUGUGGUGUGAACCAAGGGUUGUGAUCAGCCCAGGUACACAUCAGUCACCUCCAUUACCGUGUGGGAAACGAGUCCUAGACACACAUUGUAGUGGUCAAUGAAGUUUUUCACAUUUUUGGGGGUAUUGAUAGCAUCAUCAUAAGCACAUUAGUGAUUGAAUCAAUAUGCUAAUGUAUGAAUGAGGGGGGAAAAGCAGUCUGGGAGUGUCUAAUGAAACAGUGAAUAUUAUUCAAAUAUUUCUGAGUCAUUGAGGUCCACUAUGUUACCUCUUUGGGUAAGGAACAUAUCGACAGAUGAGCUUUGCAUUUUAUUGUGAACAAAAAGGAACAGGAAGAAGCUGUUAAAUAAGUAAGUAAAAGAUGAACCCAGUAGCUAAACAAAAGAGGGUCAGAUAAUGACCAUAUAGAAGUGCAGGUUGUAGAAUAAGAAAAUGACUUGUUCCAUUUUAUCUACGUGCUGUCUAGGAACAACAGAAAGAACUGGUUCUGUCCACUGGUCCAUAGGUGUAGACAGAUGGACUUCUGUUCUAGCUCUGAGUUGGUGGUGUGUUUAUUUUGUUCAUUUUCUUUAAAUAUGUGAAUAGAUGAUUAAGUGAAGCCACAAUAGAGUACGUACACAAAGCCACAGCCCGAGAGGUUUACCAGCGGCACAUACAGAAGCUAUGGGAAGUGUGGCCGUCGGGGACAAUGUGUGAGGAGCAACAUUUGGAUUUGUUCUCUUUAAAUGCAGUCCGUUCAGAAGUAGACGCAAAUUAGCAUCUCCAUGGGAAGAGGUCAUCCAAACAGCUUUUCAUAGAACAUAAAAUUCGCCUAUGAUGUUGGAAUACAUUGUACUUAAACGGCUAAAAAUUAACUUUGUGCUAGUCACAGGCCAAUCCUAAGCCAGUCAGAAAAUUCUCUCGCAAGUCAAGGAUUUCGGUUAACCCCCCGGUACACGCCACCCAUCACAAGGGAAAGUCACGGGGGCUUCCCUCUUCCCAGCGUCUCGGUGGAACUCCACAGGCUGGCCGCAGGUGGGCUGUCUUCAUUAUUCUUCCCGGAUGACCUUCUUGGUGGUUUCCUGUGUGGAGCUGGACGGCAUAGGCCGACGUUACGUGAUGGUGUGGUGACUCUUAAGUCUAACAGCAAUGAUCUUGUAUUAGACUUGAGUUAAUGAGUUUUGAUUUUUUUUUUCAACACCUUUUUUUUAAUGCUUUCAUGCAUUCCUCAGACAUUUAUCAAGCUCUUGGUAAACCUUAUCGCAGAACAGAGAUCGAACCAAUAGUUUAUAAUUCAGCCAAGAAAGAAUCAGUGGCCAAUUACGAACCAAAAAUGGAGACGUAAGUAUUAUCUCUCUCUCUCUCUUUUUUUUUUUUUUUUGAUUGGUUGGUGCUUAAAGCCAGGAGGCUGGAAGCCACCAGAGUAUCUUAUUUUCUUUUCUUUUUUUCUUUUUUUUGAUUUUUUAAAAAACUUUUAUUUAAUGAAUAUAAAUUUCCAAUGUACAGCUCAUGGAUUACAAUGGCUUCCCCCUCCCAUAACUUCCCUCCCACCCGCAACCCUCCCCUCUCCCGCUCUCUCUCCCCUUCCACUCACAUCAAGAUUCAUUUUCAAUUCUCUUUAUAUACAGAAGAUCAAUUUAGUAUACAUUAAGUAAAGAUUUCAACAGAGUUUUGAUUUUAUUAUUAUAAAUGGAUCAAUCGUAGAGCGAAUAAGUGAAUAAAUGAAAAAGUAAAUGCGUGGAGUGUUUCCAAAUGUGAAUCUAUGUGGUGAGGCAACCGAUGCUAUUAACACAAAUAAAAACGCUAAAGUCGUACAGAUAUGUGGAGCGAGGAUUUGAUCUCUCUGUCUGGGUAUCUUGAAGACAUUGCGUGUAAGCGAAAGCCCAGAUUGUUCCGUGUCAGCCAUGUCGUUAAUUUUAUUAGGAGAACAAUUUGUUCGUAUUACCAUUACCACAGAUAGUCAGAGGAAAGGGUAGUAUGUCGCCUGUAUGAGGCCACAUGAGGCACGGUCAGUUUCUUAGCUGCUGCUCUGCCUUCCUUGGGGUGAGCGUCCUCCGUCUGAUUUCAGAGCUGCGCCCCAACCGUGAACUCCGUGGCUGCCUCUCUGCCUCACCGUGCAGACUCCUGUGAGUAAUGGUCAACACUCUGUCCUGCCGGAUUAGAGUCUCCUGCGUCAUGAAGAAGUAGGAUACAGUGAAAUAAGGCCUACCUCUUACCGUCAUUCUUACUCAUGUUCCUGGGAGCCCUGCGAUUAUUCCUGAACCGAUGAGUUAGUCGGUCAGCACAGGUGGGAGCCAGCAGGGCAGAGGGCCGCGCUGGGUCGGUGAUGAUGUCUGGUGGCGGAUGUCGCGGGUGACGACUGCUGGUCUGGAAGCCUGAGGUCCAGCACGGUCAGAGUAGAGUCCGUACUCCUGAGGCCGCGUUAGGUGUGAAAAUAUUCCAGGAUGCUGUUCUUGGCGUUUGUGUCCACGCAUUUGAAUUUUUAUCAGUGGAUCAAUGAGAGCUGCGCUGCCGCGUGGACCACGUCCUCCUCCAUGGCCACAGCUGUGCAGUGUCACCUGUGUCCCGCGCCACAGGUGGAGAGCUUGAUUGGAAGAGGAGCCGCUGGGACAGGAACCGGCGGUGCCCAUGUGGGAUACCUGUGCUGCAG